AAAGUACUCCCUCCAUCCCAAAAUUCUUGUCUUAGAUUUGUCUAGAUACGGAUGUAUCAAGUCACAUUUUAGUAUUAGAUACAUCCGUAUCUAGACAAAUCUAAGACAAGAAAUUUGGUACAGAGGGAGUUGUUG
rnacentral:pre_miRNA from 1 species